rnacentral:rRNA from 1 species
GACGUAGGGCGCAAGCGUUGUCCGGAAUUAUUGGGCGUAAAGAGCUCGUAGGCGGCUUGUUGCGUCGACUGUGAAAAACCACGACUCAACCGUGGGACUGCAGUCGAUACGGGCAGGCUAGAGUUCGGUAGGGGAGACUGGAAUUCCUGGUGUAGCGGUGAAAUGCGCAGAUAUCAGGAAGAACACCCGUGGCGAAGGCGGUUCUCUGGGACGGUACUGACGCUGAGACGCGAAAGCGUGGGGAGCGAACAGG